AUGAUGUCUAGGAAGAUUGCAUAUCAGGCAUUCCUGAUCUCAGACGCCUUAGCGGCGUGCUCCUCGUUUGCUGUCGCCUUGAUAUGCACGAUCCAGGACAUAUCAUUUACUAAGAAGCUCAUGUGGUUUGCUUACGUGGCUUGUUCAGCUAGUUUAUAUGCAGUAAUGGUCCCGCGUCUCCACUGGUUGACCAUCGCACCAUGCCUUCUGGUGCUUUUUGGCCCAUUCUUACUAGGCAGCUGGGCAGAUGGCCGCCAAACUCUUAUAGGUUCUGAUACAAUCUCGAAGCAGUGGAAGUGA
rnacentral:rRNA from 1 species